rnacentral:lncRNA from 1 species
UUCAAUGCCCCUUGGCAAUCAUUAUUUCACCUGACCGUUUGAUCUUUCUUUUCAACAUCUUGACUAUCGGUUCACCCGUGGCUGUUAGAUGAGAUGUGAACCAUGACAGGUAGUUCAAUCUUUCUAAGAAACCACGAACCUUCUUUCUUUAUUUUUUCUCGGUUCAGGCAUUUAUCUUCUUUUUUUUCUCUUUUUUUUUUCUUUUUUAAGCAGGAUCAACCUCGAUUCCUCUUUUCCAAUGAACCCCAGCAUCUUACCGGACCGCACUCUG